AUCCAAGGUGAUUCCCUCUUCCAAGGGGCCUGCUAGUGCCCCUCUUCAGGAAAGUAGCAACUUGGAAUAAAAUCUGGCACGCCUCUGGUUUCUGGGGAGAGGGGAUGUUUGUUUCCUUGCCUUGCCUUCCUUUGGCUGCCUACAUGU
rnacentral:snoRNA from 1 species